CAGUGAGUGACUUGGGCCGAGCCAGCGAAUCGGGGCCAUCCGGCCAUUUCGAUUACGUCGCUGAUUAUCAUUUCUCAUCUGGCAGCUACGGAGCUAGGCAGCUGGCUGCUCGUCGGCAGAUUCCAUCACUGCCGAAUAAUUAAUACACAUUUAAACUGUUUCGGAUUGUAAACAAAGCGGGCUUACAUAAGGAACUAGCUGGGAGCAGCAAGCGGGACACCGACGCAAUAAUCUGUUGCCAAUCAAGCCACAUCGCAGGUCAUAAUCACGAUGCUGUGUCGAAUGAAGUUCGAACUGGGAGCCGCUGAGCUGGAGCACAUGGGCUGCACUCCAGUGCCAUCAGAGCAUCUUUCAAUGGGGAUUACAUCUUCAGCUAGCGAGGGCCAUGCUCACGAUGAUGAAGCUGCUUCUGCUGCCCCGGCGAUGACGGCAAUGACGAUGGGCAACCGGUUGGCGGUCGCACAUUAACAUCAGAUGCAACGGAGACGCACAUCUUCCCCAUAUUGCAUAAUCGACCCGGGCUCGCGACUCGAAACUCCAGACCUGCCGUCGCAUCUUCACGCGGAAGCAAAGCCAUUCUCAAAGCGCCCAAAAACAAAAAGGAAAUUGCACACCGACACAGAAAACUAAAAGCAGCUAGCAACGUGCAAUGUCGUGGUUUUCCCAAAAAACCAGUUGCAUCCACACACAGAGAGAAAAGUUGUGCUACAAGUGAUUCACGAGAAUUGUGGAGAAAGUCUUGAAAAUGUCAAUUCAAUUUUCUGCUAUAUUAUGAAGCUCUCUUGAUAUUCCUUAUGAACUGGCUGCUUUGCUUCGGAUUUGCUGGUUCAACUUUCAAAGUUUGUUGCUUUAAGUGCAGCCAUUGUUGCAGUUGCAACUGGCAUUGCUGCCUCCGUUGCAGUUGCAGCUGCGCAGACCUUUGAGCAAGUUCAAUGGUGACGGGAAUGGGAAUGGAAAUUGAAAUGGGAUUUGGACUCGGAGCGGAGGCUUAGGGGGCAGGGCAAUUACGCCCCUCGCAGUUGGGGCACUUGCUCUCGACUGCUUCCUGGCCCUGGCCAAAAACCAAAUCCAAUUCGAGACUGGCAAGGCGGAAAGGAAGGCGGUCGGUCCAACCCCGGCCCAAGCCGAGCCGAAGGAGAAACCGAAACACUGGCUGCAGUGAUGCGGGACACACAAAAGUGAAAAAGUGAAUCGUUUCCGUUUCCGUUCAUAUUCGUAAUCCACAGAUGGCAGCGCCUGCUGGCCUUUGUGCAUUGUUCACCUCCCCAAUGAAUAUAUUCCGCUGACAAUGGCGCCGUGCGCCCACUUAUCAACCCAAGGCCCGCCCACUCACUCCUGCCGAAAGGACAAAUGGCGCUCUCUAUCGGCGCCUGCAAAAACGAUUGCGUAACUUAUGGCCAGUCAUCAGCCGAAACUUUUGCGUCCGGCAAAAGCGCUUCCCAUUUUCGAUUUGUUUAUCAUUUAUUUAAACGGCCUUAGGGUCGCUCUGCCCCGCCAUUAAGCUGGUUCGAUUCCAUUUUCGUUUUAUUGGCCAAGACCCAGGACACAGGACCCAAGUGCCCCAGACCCACGCCCAUGCCCCGUAUCCAAGGCACAACCGGCACAGCAAUCGCCCGGCACACAAUGAGCAAUGCUAUUUAAUUAUGUUGAUGAGCAGGACCGGACAGCAGGACAGGAGUUCGGGAAGUGGCAGGAAAACGCUCAACACGCACAAAAAGGAAAUGCCUUUGGUCCUCCCACCCCCAACUGCCUUUUAUACGGCACUGUGGGUGGCUGAUGAAGAAUGUCAAUCUUUGAGCUCAUAACUUGGCCAUCUAAUACUCUUAAGCCAAUUGUCGGUUUCCGGUGUCGGUGUAGAAGUCAACUUAAAUAGGCCGAGAAGUUUAAAAAAAAUGGAAAGAAUAAAACAAACUUGCUCUCUAUAACUUAUAGAAAGAAGUCCUGCAUCUCCAGCCAGA
rnacentral:sRNA from 1 species